rnacentral:rRNA from 1 species
AUGGAGGGGGUAGCGGGGAUGUUGAGGGGGUUGAAGCUCUCUGACGAGGAGAAGAAGGGAGUCCGGAUUAGGUUUUCGGGGAAGGAGACUGGGAAAAGCACGGCGGCGCAGGUGGUGGGGAGGGUGCUGUCGGAGAAGUUGGUUCAUCCGGAUGCAAUCAGCCUGACGCUGGGGAAGAUCUGGUGUCCGAUCAAGGGAACGGACUGCAAGGAAAUUGGGGUCAACCAGUUUUUGUUCACAUUCAACCAGGAGACAGGAAAGAGGAAGGCGUUGGAUAAUGGUCCAUGGAUGUUUGAUAAGGAUCUGGUGGUGGUGGAAGACUAUGACCCCUGUAAGAGGCCGGAAGAUUAUCAAUUCAAUAAGAUCCCGAUUUGGGUUAGGGUUUUUGAUCUACCACUGGGC